rnacentral:lncRNA from 10 species
GCCGGGUGCGGUGGCUCACGCCUGUAAUCCCAGCACUUUGGGAGGCUGAGGCAGGUGGAUCAUUUGAGGUCAGGAGUUCGAGACGAGCCUGGCCAACAUGGUGAAACCCUGUCUCUACUAAAAAUACAAAAAUUAUCCGGGUGGUAGUGGCGCAUGCCUGUAAUCCCAGCUACUUGGGAGGCUGAGGCAGGAAAAUUGCUUGAGCCUAGGAGGCGGAGAUUGCAGUGAGCCAAGAUCUCGCCACUGCACUCCAGUCUCGGUGACAGAGUGAGACCCUGCCU